UAAUUAUCAAAAAUGUUGCAGGUACCACAUCUUUUGAAGAAAACAUUACCAUCCCAGUAUUUUGGUGCUUGUGACUUCGAGGAAACAUCCAAGCUUCAUUCCAGUCCGUCAGGUGGCCUUCAGAUGGUCUUAGGAUUGAUUGCAUGAGUUCAAUCCUCGAUGCGUACUGAGGAAGCCUACAAGAAGGUGAGCCAAGUAGAACACGCUACUGAUUUGUGAUUGAAGGUGAGCUAAACCGAGCUUUCCGCAGACUUGUGGCUGGAGGUAGGCACCCUUUUAUAGAGAGAUGGCCACUUUACUUUCAGGGGCCGCAUUUUGAUGAUGACU